rnacentral:rRNA from 1 species
UACGUAGGGUGCGAGCGUUAAUCGGAAUGACUGGGCGUAAAGGGUGCGUAGGCGGUUUGCUAAGACGGAUGUGAAAUCCCUGGGCUCAACCUAGGAACAGCAUACGUGACUGGCAGGCUAGAGUAUCGAAGAGGGGGGUAGAAUUCCACGUGUAGCAGUGAAAUGCGUAGAGAUGUGGAGGAAUACCGAUGGCGAAGGCAGUGGGCUGGGCCGGCACUGACGCUGAGGAGCGAAAGCGUGGGGAGCGAACAGG